UAACCUGCUAAAUAGCCAGGCUAGCUUUUGCUGGUCGCCGGCUUCUUAGAGGGACUAUCGGCUCAAGCCGAUGGAAGUUUGAGGCAAUAACAGGUCUGUGAUGCCCUUAGAUGUUCUGGGCCGCACGCGCGCUACACUGACAGAGCCAACGAGUAUAAACCUUAACCGAGAGGUUUGGGUAAUCUUGUUAAACUCUGUCGUGCUGGGGAUAGGGCAUUGCAAUUAUUGCCCUUCAACGAGGAAUAUCUAGUAAGCGCAAGUCAUCAGCUUGCGUUGAUUACGUCCCUGCCCUUUGUACACACCGCCCGUCGCU
rnacentral:rRNA from 1 species